rnacentral:rRNA from 1 species
UCCACGCCCUAAACGAUGUCAACUGGUUGUUGGGUCUUCACUGACUCAGUAACGAAGCUAACGCGUGAAGUUGACCGCCUGGGGAGUACGGCCGCAAGGUUAAAACUCAAAGGAAUUGACGGGGACCCGCACAAGCGGUGGAUGAUGUGGUUUAAUUCGAUGCAACGCGAAAAACCUUACCCACCUUUGACAUGUACGGAAGAUCGCAGAGACGCGAUUGUGCUCGAAAGAGAACCGUAACACAGGUGCUGCAUGGCUGUCGUCAGCUCGUGUCGUGAGAUGUUGGGUUAAGUCCCGCAACGAGCGCAACCCUUGCCAUUAGUUGCUACAUUCAGUUGGGCACUCUAAUGGGACUGCCGGUGACAAACCGGAGGAAGGUGGGGAUGACGUCAAGUCCUCAUGGCCCUUAUAGGUGGGGCUACACACGUCAUACAAUGGCUGGUACAAAGGGUUGCCAACCCGCGAGGGGGAGCUAAUCCCAUAAA